AUUUGAACAUGAAAUUUUCAGACUCAGCGGUGCGACAUUCUGCACAUCAUGGAUCUGUACCAUAUCCUUUUCUAGACGACGAUGUAUACAUUUGCUCUCUGUGAACCUCUCUAAAUAAAAGAAUGUUUGUUUCUUACUCUGCAAUAUGAGUAUAUAUGUAUAUAACACCUAUUCCUUCCCUGCACCCCCUUAUAAAUGAACUAAUCUGCGCUAUGUAACCAAGGUUGUCUAUGGCUUUGUAUAGCUGAGUUUCUGGGUUCCAAUUACCCUUUGAAGAUCAGCAUUAUGACUAGCAACAUUGGAUCUCUGCGUCAAAUCAUGUGGUGGCAUGUAGUAUCACAGGGAUAUGCACAAUCAAUCUCCUUGCUGAUGUUUCUACUGAAGUACCAAUCACCGACUGUCUCCGCAAUUGUCUUGUUGUGUAUUCGAGGAGAGCCAGCUGCAAACCAAGUAUCUUGUGUCUCACUCUGACAAUGAGUGAAGCAAGAGUUUAUGUACAUCCCAUCUCUAGUUGAAUUUUGAUAGAAAUCUCUCAACGCUGUAAGCAUAUCUAUCCUGAACCCUUGCAAAAUAUUCAGUUGACUUGUAUCACAUGCUGUGACAUUCAACUUGCAAUGAUCCCAAUGCCGUCGAGGAUCGGAAGAAGGCGGCACCAAUAUGUGAUGGAAUUGGUACACGUCAUAUGCUGAAUUUAAGAUGAAGAAUGGCGUUUCGAUGAAUGGUAAUGCAUACUGUGGGAAGAAGCACAGGUGUGGGUAGUAGAGAGUAGAAGUGCAAUUUAGAUUGAGAUUUGGUUCCACCCCCUGUAGGGUAAUAAGACCUUCAUAGAAAGAUCUCAUUGUGUGAUUCAAAGCUAUAUCUCUCUCGUCUAAAAAAAACCCAGCAUCACUCAAGCACUUCACACUG
rnacentral:misc_RNA from 1 species